rnacentral:lncRNA from 10 species
CGAAUCUUGUGCCCCAACAGGGCAGGAGCCCAGCUCGCCUCUCCCAGGUGAUGGUUUGCUUGGUGGCUUGGAGCAGGGAAGGGCACUAGUGGUGGAGGAGGAACUGGAGUUCGGUGCAGUAACCCAGCCCCUGCUGAGCGCUAAGCACUCCACACCCAGUUCCAGGUAAACGACCCAGCACCCCAACAGGUGGACAUUCAUCUCCAUUUCAGUAGUUAGAAAAUGCGGGGAGAGACAUUUAACAAGUUACACAGUGACUAAAGGUGGAGGAGGUCAGAGUUCUGGAGUGACACAGCCCCUAACCCCUCAUGUCACCUUGCUGUCUCCUAACUAGACUCGCCUGAAAGACCAAUUUUGGACCACGAGUAGGAAAAUGCCUAGAGUGGCAGUCUCUGGAAUCACUCAGAGCAUACAGAAGGCAGAUUCCGUCUACCUGUUCUAGCAAAGGCUGGUUUCUAAGGUAGCACCAUGGAUGUCGAGAUAGUUCUGUGUUAAAGACAGGUUCAGAUGCAGUGACCAAGCUCUCCAUGCCAGCCCAGGCUGGUAGCCACCACCAUGAUGCCCUCCCUGCUUACUUCCCAAGGCCCGUUGCCUUGAGCCUCACACCUGUGCUGAGUCUGGCCCCAGUCUAUUCUCUGCCCACAACCAGGGCUCCAGGCUAUCCACACAGAGAGAGGCCUGGGGGCUAC